rnacentral:rRNA from 1 species
GACGAACGCUGGCGGCGUGCUUAACACAUGCAAGUCGAAGAUAGUGGCGAACGGGUGAGUAAUACGUGGGUAACCUGACCUCCUUUUUGGGCUAAGCCUUGGAAACGGUGUCUAAUAACUAAUUGAGGGGGCUGGGCUCGCGUCGUAUCAGGUUGGUGGUGGGGUGCUGGCCUACCAAGGCGUUGACGGGUAGCCGGCCUGCGAGGGUGACCGUCAACCUUGGGACUGUGAUACGGCCCAGACUACUACGGGAGGCAGCAGUGGGGGAUAUAGCACAAUGGGUGAAAGACUGAUGCAGCGACGCCGCGUGGGGGAUGAAGUCUUUGGGGUUGUAAACCUCGUUCGCAAUCGAUCGGGUAGGUGGAGAAGAAGCGCCGGCUAACUACGUGCCAGCAGCCGCGGUAAUUC